GACUGUGAUUUUGGGUGAGGAAUAUGUCGCAAAAAAGUUAUUUUCUAUGUCUCAGACCGGUGAGGACUUCACAAUUUAUCUAGAUAAAACUAGUAAGCAAAGUAGAUGCACGUAUUUAUGAAAAUAAAACGAACGAGUUUAAGCAAAACUGCUUGAAAUAUAAAGCAUAAAUAGAAUUAGGAUGAGACCCCAGAGCAUUGGACUUUGCUUUUU
rnacentral:lncRNA from 1 species